AAGAUGUAGUCAGGGGUGCUGUGUUUAGAGACAGGUUUAGAGCAAGCACAAGUCCUAAGCUUUGUUUUUAACAUUAGUAAAAUAUCUUGCAGACAGUUAGCUUUUCUAAAUUUUUAUUUCCUUAUCUUUUAUUAGAUAUGAGAACAUCUUAUGUUUUAAAACCUAUGAUUUUUAACGAUUUUAUAAUUCCAUGGAAAAUGGAACUGUAUACAAUAGACUUCAAACUCAUUCUGAGUUUUUGAUACUGAUGUCAUAAUUUUAGAAUAUCCUUGUCUUAGCCCAGGUUACAUCAACUGGCUUAUUUAGAGCUUCAUUGAACAAUAUUAGCAUUUAAGUGUAUUAAUUUUAAAAUGUGAUUGUGUAUGCAAAUCAUUAGCUAGACAUGGCGUUAUAC
rnacentral:lncRNA from 1 species